CAUCUCUAUGCAUUUAUCUACUAUUUCAGUUGGGUGCGUGGGCAUGUCCUUCACAUCUCUUCAUUCAAAACUCAAAGAAUGUUAUGUAUAAAUUAGUUUGUUUUACGCCAAACAGUAGUCCAUAGUGGGGGGGGUAGAUUAGCAGCUUUCAUAGAACCACCAACAGUCUAUGUCUGUUAUCUUGACACUAGCACCAAUUUAGCAAGGCAAAUGUCUGUGCACAUAGCUCGAUGUUAGAGUGCCAACCUUUGUCGCCAUCAAAACCUACCGAUCUACCUGGACAGCAUUAAUUUCC